rnacentral:ncRNA from 2 species
AGUAAGGAUAGAGGAGCAAAAACCAUCAGUACACAGUUUGAGGACUAUGAGAUCCGAAGAAGAUUGUGAAAAGGGGAAUUUGCCGAAGCUUUUGAGAAACUCAUAAUCUCACGAGCUGGUUCUGUUGUUGAACAAAUGCAGAACUGUCAUAUAGGUUUCUAUAUGGAGGGCUAUCUUACGC